AGAAGACGUGGGUGGCUGUACCUCUGAAUGAGAGUGCUAGCUAUGGUUAUGCAUCAGCCUUGAUUGCUGAGGUGCUGACACGCAUUCAGGAGCGCAGAAGGGAGUCUGGAGCUGUGGCAACUCUGCCAACGCGGUCAUCAACAUAUGGUGAGACGCCAAGCCUUACAGAAGCAGUCGUGAAGCAUCAGGCAAGGUUCCAGAAAUGAGGCUCCCACCUGCAUCACACACUGAAGUUGAAACUAAGCUAAAAAAAGGCCCUUUUCAGGGCCACCACAAGGUUU